AGAGUUGAUCCUGGCUCAGGAUGAACGCUGGCGGCGUGCCUAUACAUGCAAGUCGAGCGAACAGACGAGGAGCUUGCUCUUUCGACGUUAGCGGCGGACGGGUGAGUAACACGUAGGUAACCUACCUAUAAGACUGGGAUAACUUCGGGAAACCGGAGCUAAUACCGGAUAAUAUUUCGAACCGCAUGGUUCGAUAGUGAAAGAUGGCUUUGCUAUCACUUAUAGAUGGACCUGCGCCGUAUUAGCUAGUUGGUAAGGUAACGGCUUACCAAGGCAACGAUACGUAGCCGACCUGAGAGGGUGAUCGGCCACACUGGAACUGAGACACGGUCCAGACUCCUACGGGAGGCAGCAGUAGGGAAUCUUCCGCAAUGGGCGAAAGCCUGACGGAGCAACGCCGCGUGAGUGAUGAAGGUCUUCGGAUCGUAAAACUCUGUUAUUAGGGAAGAACAAACGUGUAAGUAACUGUGCACGUCUUGACGGUACCUAAUCAGAAAGCCACGGCUAACUACGUGCCAGCAGCCGCGGUAAUACGUAGGUGGCAAGCGUUAUCCGGAAUUAUUGGGCGUAAAGCGCGCGUAGGCGGUUUUUUAAGUCUGAUGUGAAAGCCCACGGCUCAACCGUGGAGGGUCAUUGGAAACUGGAAAACUUGAGUGCAGAAGAGGAAAGUGGAAUUCCAUGUGUAGCGGUGAAAUGCGCAGAGAUAUGGAGGAACACCAGUGGCGAAGGCGACUUUCUGGUCUGUAACUGACGCUGAUGUGCGAAAGCGUGGGGAUCAAACAGGAUUAGAUACCCUGGUAGUCCACGCCGUAAACGAUGAGUGCUAAGUGUUAGGGGGUUUCCGCCCCUUAGUGCUGCAGCUAACGCAUUAAGCACUCCGCCUGGGGAGUACGACCGCAAGGUUGAAACUCAAAGGAAUUGACGG
rnacentral:rRNA from 1 species